rnacentral:sRNA from 1 species
GCGGGCCUGGCAUCCUGCACCUGCCGCCCCUUCCUUAGCCACCUGGCGCAGGGCAAUGAGGACUGUGUAGGUGCCAAGCAGGCUGCUGUAGUGCAGGUGUUGAAGAAGUUGGCCACCCGCAAGCUCACAGGGCCAAAGGUUGUAGAGCUGUGUCACUGUGUGGAUGAGACACAGGAGCCUGAGCUGGCCAGUCUCACCGCACAAAGCCUCCCCUAUCAACUGCCCUUCCACAAUUUCCCACUGACCUGCACCGACCUGGCCACCCUGACCAACAUCCUAGAGCACAGGGAGGCCCCCAUCCACCUGGAUUUUGAUGGCUGUCCCCUGGAGCCCCACUGCCCUGAGGCUCUGGUAGGCUGUGGGCAGAUAGAGAAUCUCAGCUUUAGGAGCAGGAAGUGUGGGGACACCUUUGCAGAAGCCCUCUCCAGGAGCUUGCCGACAAUGGGGAGGCUGCAGAUGCUGGGGUGAGCCAGGCCUUGGAGCUGAGAAGGGUCUUCAGCUGGGGAUGCCUGGUACUCUCCUCCCUCUCCUUAAUCCUACACAAGGCAGAUUCCUGGCCCCGCCCUUUUCCCCUCCUCGUUCCUCCCCACCAUCUUUGCUUACUCUGUAGGUUAGCAGGAAGUAAAAUCACUGCCCGAGGCAUCAGCCACCUGGUGAAAGCUUUGCCUCUCUGUCCACAGCUGAAAGAAGUCAGUUUUCGGGACAACCAGCUCAGUGACCAGGUGGUGCUGAACAUUGUGGAGGUUCUCCCUCACCUACCACGGCUCCGGAAGCUUGACCUGAGCAGCAACAGCAUCUGCGUGUCAACCCUACUCUGCUUGGCAAGGGUGGCAGUCACGUGUCCUACCGUCAGGAUGCUUCAGGCCAG